rnacentral:rRNA from 1 species
GGACCUGACUGCUAUCGGAUUGCUAUCUAAGCCAUGCGAGUCAUUGUAGCAAUACAAGGCGUACGGCUCAGUAACGCGUAGUCAACCUAACCUAUGGACGGGAAUAACCUCGGGAAACUGAGAAUAAUGCCCGAUAGAACAUUAUGCCUGGAAUGGUUUAUGUUCCAAAUGAUUUAUCGCCGUAGGAUGGGACUGCGGCCUAUCAGUUUGUUGGUGAGGUAAUGGCCCACCAAGACUAUUACAGGUACGGGCUCUGAGAGGAGUAGCCCGGAGAUGGGUACUGAGACACGGACCCAGGCCCUAUGGGGCGCAGCAGGCGAGAAAACUUUGCAAUGUGCGAAAGCACGACAAGGUUAAUCCGAGUGGUUUCUGCUAAAGGAACCUUUUGUCAGUCCUAGAAACACUGAUGAAUAAGGGGUGGGCAAGUUCUGGUGU